AUCCAACUGAUGAUUUCCAAAUAGGAUGAAAUACGAGUCCUGGAU
rnacentral:hammerhead_ribozyme from 1 species